GCCACAGGCACAGGGGACAGGGCCAUCCGGCACCUCGCCUGGAUGUAGGAGGCCCGGCCGAGCGGCGAGGACCGAGGGUGACACCGCCCAUCCCUGCGCUGGGCGAGCACGGGGACCCCCCCGCGCCCCCCCAGCCUCCGGGGGCACCAUGAAGGACCGGCUGGAGCAGCUCAAGGCGAAGCAGGAUGCAGACGAUGAGGAGGAGCUGGAGAUCGCCGUGGACAACACGGCCUUCAUGGAUGAGUUCUUCUCGGAGAUUGAGGAGACCCGGCAGAACAUUGACAAGAUCUCGGAGAAUGUGGAGGAAGCCAAGAAGCUCUACAGCAUCAUCCUCUCAGCACCCAUCCCAGAGCAGAAGACCAAAGAUGAUCUGGAGCAGCUGACGACAGACAUCAAGAAAAUGGCCAACAGCGUCCGUAACAAGCUGAAGAGCAUGGAGAGGAACAUCGAGCAGGACGAGGCACGAUCCUCAGCUGACCUCCGGAUACGCAAGUCCCAGCACUCAGUGCUGUCCCGCAAGUUCGUGGAUGUCAUGACCAAGUACAACGAGGCGCAGGUGGAUUUCCGGGAGCGGAGCAAGGGCCGGAUCCAGCGCCAGCUGGAAAUCACCGGCAAGAACACCACGGACGAGGAGCUGGAGGAGAUGCUGGAGAGUGGGAACCCCUCCAUCUUCACCUCGGGGAUCAUGGACUCGCAGAUCUCGAAGCAGGCGCUGAGCGAGAUCGAGGGCCGGCACAAGGACAUCGUGCGCCUGGAGAGCAGCAUCAAGGAGCUCCACGACAUGUUCGUGGACAUCGCCAUGCUGGUGGAGAACCAGGUACGGGGACACGAGGGGCCUGGCCAUGGGGACACGGGGACAUGCAGGGACCUGGCCAUGAGGACACGGGGACAUGCAGGGACCUGGCCACAGGAACACGGGGACAUGCAAGGAACCUGGCCAUGGGGACAUAGAGACACACAGGGACCCCAGGGACAUGCAGGGACCUGGCCACUGGGACAUGGGGACAUGCAGUGAUCCAGCCAUGGGGACACAGGGACACACAGGGACCUGACCACGGGGACAGGCAGGGACCUGGGUAUGGGGACACAGGGACAGGCAGGGACCCGGCCAUGGGGACUCAGGGACACGCAGGGACCUGGCCACAGAGACAUAGGGACAUGCAGCAACCCGGCCGUGGGGACAUUGGGACAAGUGGAGACCUGGCCACGGGAACACAGAGACAGGCAGGGACCUGGCCAUAGAGACACAGGGACACGCAGGGACCUGGGUAUGGGGACACAGAGACACGCAGUGAUCCGGGUGUGGGGACACAAGAACAAGCGGAGACCUGGGCAUGGGGACAUGGGGACAGGCAGGGACCUGGGUAUGGGGACACAGAGACUUGCAAGGACCUGGGCAUGGGAACACAGGGACACACAGGGACCUGGCCACAGGAACAUGGGGACGCGCACGGACCCAGCCAUGGGGACACAGGGACAAGCAGAGACCUGGGUAUGGGGACACAGAGAUAAGCAGGGACCUGUGGGCAGUGUGAACAGGGACCUGAGCAUAGGGACAAGCAGGAACCUGGCAAUGGAUGACCCCAUUGUGUAUGGGGACAUGGACAUGAGCCAUGAGGGAUUUGGGCACAGGGUCACAGGGAUGAGAAGGGAUCCACGUAUGGGGACACACAGGGACCUGUGCACAGGAUGACCAGGGACAAACAGGGACCCGAGUGGGGGUCACAGGGACCUGCACAGGACCAUGGAGUGGCCCAGGGACCUGCACAGGGGGGUCCAGGCAUGGAGCAAUAUGGGCUGGGGUGUGACCACUGCACGUGUUCCCAUGGAGCCACUCACCACCCUGUGGUGGCCUGGAGGGGACACAGGAGUGUCUCCCAGUCUGUGGUGGUGUUGUCCCCUCUCUCAGCCCCUCUCUGUCCCCCAUGCCACGCGAGGAGCCACUGUGUGCCCCGGGGAUGGGGUGGGCUGCUGGAUAACGCAGAGCCGAGCAGGUGGAGCAGAGCACAGAGACGAUCCGGUGCCAGGUGGGUGGGUGCCAGCACCCUGGGGUGCUCUCAGUGUCCCCCCCUCUCUCUGUGUCCCCCGGGUGCUCCGUAGGGAGCCAUGAUCGACCGCAUAGAGAACAACAUGGACCAGUCCGUGGGAUUCGUGGAACGGGCCGUGGCUGACACCAAAAAGGCUGUGAAGUACCAAA